UACGUAGGGUGCGAGCGUUGUCCGGAAUUACUGGGCGUAAAGAGCUCGUAGGCGGUCUGUCGCGUCUGCUGUGAAAACCCGAGGCUCAACCUCGGGCCUGCAGUGGGUACGGGCAGACUAGAGUGCGGUAGGGGAGAAUGGAAUUCCUGGUGUAGCGGUGGAAUGCGCAGAUAUCAGGAGGAACACCGAUGGCGAAGGCAGUUCUCUGGGCCGUAACUGACGCUGAGGAGCGAAAGCGUGGGGAGCGAACAGG
rnacentral:rRNA from 1 species